GCCAGACUCCUACGGGAGGCAGCAGUGGGGGAUAUUGCACAAUGGGGGGAACCCUGAUGCAGCGACGCCGCGUGGGUGAAGGAGCGUUUCGGCGCGUAAAGCCCUCUCGGCAGGGAAGAAGGAGGACGGUACCUGACUAAGAAGCCCCGGCUAACUACGUGCCAGCAGCCGCGGUAAUACGUAGGGGGCAAGCGUUAUCCGGAUUUACUGGGUGUAAAGGGGGCGCAGACGGCAGCGCAAGCCAGGAGUGAAAGCCCGGGGCCCAACCCCGGGACUGCUCUUGGAACUGCGCGGCUGGAGUGCAGGAGGGGCAGGCGGAAUUCCUGGUGUAGCGGUGAAAUGCGUAGAUAUCAGGAGGAACACCGGUGGCGAAGGCGGCCUGCUGGACUGCGACUGACGUUGAGGCCCGAAAGCGUGGGGAGCAAACAGGAUUAGAUACCCUAGUAAC
rnacentral:rRNA from 1 species